rnacentral:telomerase_RNA from 1 species
AUUAUAUGUCGUAACUGCUGUGUUAUUUGUGUUGCUGUUAAACUUGGUUUAAAAAUUACACAAAUUACCUACAAAACUAACAAAAUGAACAAAACAAAAGGUGUUGCUUGUCCAUGGGUUCAUCUAUACCAAAAAUGUAAUGGACUGCUCGCAGUUUUUUUUU